AGUGAACGCUGGCGGUAGGCCUAACACAUGCAAGUCGAACGGCAGCACAGAGGAGCUUGCUCUCUGGGUGGCGAGUGGCGGACGGGUGAGGAAUACAUCGGAAUCUACUCUGUCGUGGGGGAUAACGUAGGGAAACUUACGCUAAUACCGCAUACGACCUACGGGUGAAAGCAGGGGAUCUUCGGACCUUGCGCGAUUGAAUGAGCCGAUGUCGGAUUAGCUAGUUGGCGGGGUAAAGGCCCACCAAGGCGACGAUCCGUAGCUGGUCUGAGAGGAUGAUCAGCCACACUGGAACUGAGACACGGUCCAGACUCCUACGGGAGGCAGCAGUGGGGAAUAUUGGACAAUGGGCGCAAGCCUGAUCCAGCCAUACCGCGUGGGUGAAGAAGGCCUUCGGGUUGUAAAGCCCUUUUGUUGGGAAAGAAAUCCAGCUGGCUAAUACCCGGUUGGGAUGACGGUACCCAAAGAAUAAGCACCGGCUAACUUCGUGCCAGCCGCCGCAGUAA
rnacentral:rRNA from 1 species